rnacentral:rRNA from 1 species
AGCUCCAAUAGCGUAUAUUAAAGUUGUUGCAGUUAAAAAGCUCGUAGUUGGAUUUGUGGUUGGAUAGAUCGGUCCGACACAAUGUGUGGGUACUUGAUUUGUCCGUCCAUCCUUGGGUGGAUGCUGUGUGGCAUUAAGUUGUCGUGCAGUGGAUGCCCACCGUUUACUGUGAAAAAAUUAGAGUGUUCAAAGCAGGCUUUUCAAGCCCGGAUACAUGAGCAUGGAAUAAUGGAAUAGGACUUUGGUUCUAUUUUGUUGGUUUCCUGGACCGAAGUAAUGAUUAAGAGGGACAAUUGGGGGCGUCCGUAUUUCGUUGUCAGAGGUGAAAUUCUUGGAUUUACGAAAGACGAACAACUGCGAAAGCAUUCGCCAAGAGUGUUUUCAUUAAUCAAGAACGAAA